rnacentral:rRNA from 1 species
AGACCCGGCACGCUAAGCCGUCUAGUGGAUGGCUUGGCUUGGGCGCCGAAGAAGGGCGUGGCAAGCUGCGAUAAGCCCCGGGGAGGCGCAUGCAGCCUUAGAUCCGGGGAUUCCCGAAUAGGACCUCCUACCGUGAGUUAAUAGCUCAUGGUGCCCCCCUCGUAAGAGGGGGGUGGGAACCCUCUGAACGGAAACAUCCAAGUAGGAGGAGGAAAAGAAACCAUCACGGGAUUCCCUGAGUACCGGCGAGGGAAAGGGGAGGAGCUCAAACCAAACCCCUAGGGCUGACAAACCCUUCGGGGAUGUGGUGUAGAGGUUCAGCCGAAUAUGCCCAUCGUCUGGAGAAGUCGAAGUGGCCUGGAACGGCCUACCAUAGAGGGUGAUAGUCCCGUAGACGUCAUCCAGACUAGUGGGUUGGCUGAACCGGAGUACCGCACCUUGGUAUUGGUGUGGGAAUCUGGGUGGAAUCAGCAUCCAAAGCUAAAUACGUCCCAAGACCGAUAGCGUACUAGUACGGUGACGGAAAGCUGAAAAGCACCCCGGAAGGGGGGUGAAAAGAGCCUGAAACUAGACGGCGAUAUCCGUGCGGAGCCUGAAAGGGUAGAUCCACCUCAAAGGAAGCCGCGGCAACGCGGUUGUACGAGAAGUGGGGACCAGGGUUCCGCAUUCCGUUUCGAACCACGGGCCGGGGAGUUCACCUUCACGGCGAGCUUAAGAGCUUAUAAGCUCGUAGGCGUAGGGAAACCGACUCAUCCGCAGUUGAACCCUUCAGUUCGACGAGGGAUGGGGGUCUGAAAGGGCCUUUAGUCGUGGGGGUGAUAACCAGAAACCGGGCGAUCUAGUCCUGGGCAGGGCGAAGCCAGGCGAAAGCUUGGUGGAGGCUCGAAGGGGUGUUGACGUGCAAUUCACUCCUCUGACCUGGGACUAGGGGCCAAAAGCCAAUCUAGCCCGGUGAUAGCUGGUUCCUCCCGAAAUGGGUCGCAGCCCAUCCUCAGGUGAGGUCGCCUAGGGGGUAGAGCACCGAUAGGGUGGCAAGGGUCCGAAAGGGCCCACCAUCCUUUCGAACUCCGAAUCUCUAGGCUCCAAAGACCCUGGGAGACGGGUCUCAGGGGGUAAGCUCCUGAACCGAGAGGGGAACAACCCGGACGAGGGUUAAGGCCCCUAAAUGCUGGCUAAGUGUUAACGCGAAUGGAGUCCUUAGCCUGAGACAGCUGGGAGGUAGGCUUAGAAGCAGCCAUCCUCUAAGCAACGCGUAACAGCGGACCAGCCGAGGCUAAGGGCCCAGAAAAUGGACGGGGCUAAGCCAGCUGCCGAUACCCUCGGGGACAGUGUACAUGCACUGGCCUGGUAGGGAGGCGUCGCAAUCGGGUAGAAGCCGAGCCGUAAGGUUCGGUGGACUGGUUGCGAGUGCAGAUCCCGGUGGUAGUAGCAGCAAAGAGAGGUGAGAAUCCUCUCCGCCGCAGGGGCCAGGUUUCUCCGGCAAUGUUCGUCAGCCGGAGGUUAGUCGGUCCUAAGGCAGCCCUUAACCGGUCACUGCCGAAAGGGAAACCGGUUUAUAUUCCGGUACCGCAGAGGUACGUGCGGCGACGCAAGCCUCCAAUCCAACUCCUCCAGGUAGGCUGAGUGGGGCUGCCGCUCCACUUAACUGUCGAAGCCUGGGGAAUGCCGUAAAGGCGAGAACCAGGUGAAGAUAGGAAUAGCCUCUCGAAAGAGGGGUUCAGCUGAUCCUGGGGGACAUGGAAAAGGAUUAGAGGAAGGAUCCUCUGCGACCGUACCUAGAACCGACACAGGUGCCCCUGGGUGAGAAGCCUAAGGCGUGUCGGGUCAACGCGGGUGAGGGAAUUCGGCAAAUUAGCCCCGUAACUUCGGGAAAAGGGGUGCCUAUGGUUCUAGCCUUAAGGCUGGAACUGUAGGUCGCAGUGACAAGGAGGCCCCGACUGUUUAAUAAACGGGUAGAGACGCCAGAUGAAAUGAAUGUGAGUAAGAUCUUAAAUAGACUACUUCCAUAAGAAUAAGGAGAAUAGGUUAUGGGUGAACAAAAAUAAAAACGCUUAGUGAUAAUGAAGUGAAGUAUUUUAUUGCAGGCUUAUUUGAUGCCGAAGGUACUAAGACCAAUAGGCUAGUUAUUUAUAAUAAAAAUCUUAAACUUUUGAAGGAGAUAAAAAGAUGACUUAACAAUUUUGAUGCUCAUUCUAAAAUUUAUAAAUUUGGUUCAAUUUACGGAUUACAAGUCCACGGGAGAGCUUUCAUGGAAGUUUUCCUCAAGAUCAUACCAUCCUAUAAAUUGAUGGCGUCCUCGCCCGGUUAAAAAACAUAGGUAGCCGCAAGCCUGAAAAGGUGUGUACGGCUGCUGAAUCCUGGCCAGUGGCGGUACCUAAAACCCGGGUUCAACUGGGCUAAGGGCCGCUAAACGCCGGGAGUAACUCUGACUCUCUCAACGGAGUCGCUUCGUCGUCAAAUGAAAGUCGAGGCUCUCCGGGAGAAAGGUAGCCAAAUGCCUUGUCGGAUGAUAUCCGACGUGCAUGAAUGGAUCAACGAGGGCCUCGCUGUCCCCACCCGGGACCCGGCGAACCUACCUGGUGGUGAAAAGUCCACCAUCCCUCAGCGGGGCGAGAAGUCCCUGUGGAGCUUUACUGCAGCUUGUUGUUGAGGUAUGGUUGUGGAUGCGUAGGGUAGGUGGGAGCCGUUGAACUGGCUCUUUCGGGAGCUGGGGAGGCGUCGAUGAAACACCACUCUUCCGCGACCGUACCCCUAACCUGGGUGCUAAGCCUGGGGACAGCAGCAGGUGGGCAGUUUGCCUGGGAUGGCGCCCCCUUGAAAAGGUAUCGAGGGGGCCCUAAGGCCAGCUCAGGUAGGUUGGAAACCUACCGUAGAGGGCAAGGCUAAAAGCUGGCCUGACUGGAUUCUUCAAAGCAAGGGAUCCAGGGGUGAAAGCCGGGCCUAGCGAUCCUCCAUGUCCCUACUGAUGGGGGCUGGAGGUGACAGAAAAGUUACCCCAGGAAUAAUUGGCUUGUCGCGGGCGAGAGUUCACAUCGACCUCGCGGCUUGGUACGCCGUCGUCGUCCCUUCCCAUCCUGGCGGUGCAUAAGCCGCCAAGGGUGAGUCUGCUCGCCUAUUAAAGGGGAAUGCGAGAUGGGUUUAGACCGUCGUGAGACAGGUCGGACUCUACCUGCUGGGGGUGUUGGCCGCCUGAGGGGAUCACGUCCUCAGUACGAAAGGAACGGGGCGUGGCGGCCUCUGGUGAACCAGCUGUCCGGUAGGGCAAGCUGGGCAGCUACGCCGCCGGGGAUAAGGGCUGAAGGCAUCUAAGCCCGAAGCUCCUCCCGAAAAUAGGCGGCCAAUCCUAGGCGCAGAAACCUGGCGACAGGUUUCAUGCCUAGGACGAAGGCUGGGGUGGAACACCCCGUUGAUGGGGUGGAGGUGUAAGCCGGAAGAUCUUCGGAUCGACUGGUUCAGCCUGCCACUCCCAAUCGCCUGAGGUGCUGGGUUG